AAUCUUCCGCAAUGGGCGAAAGCCUGACGGAGCAACGCCGCGUGAACGAAGAAGGCCUUCGGGUCGUAAAGUUCUGUCCUCAGGGAAGAACCCUCAUGGGAGGAAAUGCCCAUGAGCUGACGGUACCUGGGAAGGAAGCCCUGGCUAACUACGUGCCAGCAGCCGCGGUAAUACGUAGAGGGCAAGCGUUGUCCGGAAUUAUUGGGCGUAAAGGGUGCGUAGGCGGCCUUUUAAGUCAGAUGUGAAAGACCACGGCUUAACCGUGGGGUUGCAUUUGAAACUGGAGGGCUUGAGUAUCGGAGAGGGUAGUGGAAUUCCCAGUGUAGCGGUGAUAUGCGUAGAUAUUGGGAGGAACACCAGUGGCGAAGGCGACUACCUGGACGAAAACUGACGCUGAUGCACGAAAGCUAGGGGAGCAAACA
rnacentral:rRNA from 1 species